GAUGAACGCUGGCGGCGUGCCUAAUACAUGCAAGUCGAGCGAACGGACGAGAAGCUUGCUUCUCUGAUGUUAGCGGCGGACGGGUGAGUAACACGUGGAUAACCUACCUAUAAGACUGGGAUAACUUCGGGAAACCGUAGCUAAUACCGGAUAAUAUUUUGAACCGCAUGGUUCAAAAGUGAAAGACGGUCUUGCUGUCACUUAUAGAUGGAUCCGCGCUGCAUUAGCUAGUUGGUAAGGUAACGGCUUACCAAGGCAACGAUGCAUAGCCGACCUGAGGGGGUGAUCGGCCACACUGGAACUGAGACACGGUCCAGGCUCCUACGGGAGGCAGCAGUAGGGAAUCUUCCGCAAUGGGCGAAAGCCUGACGGAGCAACGCCGCGUGAGUGAUGAAGGUCUUCGGAUCGUAAAACUCUGUUAUUAGGGAAGAACAUAUGUGUAAGUAACUGUGCACAUCUUGACGGUACCUAAUCAGAAAGCCACGGCUAACUACGUG
rnacentral:rRNA from 1 species